CACUCCUGCGGGAGGCAGCAGUGGGGAAUAUUGGACAAUGGGCGCAAGCCUGAUCCAGCCAUGCCGCGUGAGUGAUGAAGGCCCUAGGGUUGUAAAGCUCUUUCACCGGUGAAGAUAAUGACGGUAACCGGAGAAGAAGCCCCGGCUAACUUCGUGCCAGCAGCCGCGGUAAUACGAAGGGGGCUAGCGUUGUUCGGAUUUACUGGGCGUAAAGCGCACGUAGGCGGACUAUUAAGUCAGGGGUGAAAUCCCGGGGCUCAACCCCGGAACUGCCUUUGAUACUGGUAGUCUUGAGUUCGAGAGAGGUGAGUGGAAUGCCGAGUGUAGAGGUGAAAUUCGUAGAUAUUCGGAGGAACACCAGUGGCGAAGGCGGCUCACUGGCUCGAUACUGACGCUGAGGUGCGAAAGCGUGGGGAGCAAACAGGAUUAGAUACCCCAGUAGUCCC
rnacentral:rRNA from 1 species